UAAAAUCGCCCUACGCCCGGACAUAAACAAACCUUGCCAGGCCACCCUCUCGCGGCUGGUUGCUCACCCAUCCUCGCCUCUCUCCUCACCUCCCGCUGGGCUCUGCGCAGCCAGUCUUGUUGGCUUUUUUUUUUUUCUUUUCGUGAUCGCUCAUUAGGUCUGUGAUACCAGGGACAUGUCCCGAGAGCUACACGACGUGGACCUCGCCGAGGUGAAGCCUCUGGUGGAGAAAGGGGAGACCAUCACUGGCCUCCUG